UACGUAGGGUGCAAGCGUUGUCCGGAAUUAUUGGGCGUAAAGAGCUCGUAGGCGGUCUGUCGCGUCGGCUGUGAAAACUCGGGGCUCAACCUCGGGCCUGCAGUGGGUACGGGCAGACUAGAGUGCGGUAGGGGAGAUUGGAAUUCCUGGUGUAGCGGUGGAAUGCGCAGAUAUCAGGAGGAACACCAAUGGCGAAGGCAGAUCUCUGGGCCGUAACUGACGCUGAGGAGCGAAAGCAUGGGGAGCGAACAGG
rnacentral:rRNA from 1 species